rnacentral:rRNA from 1 species
UACGAAGGGGCUAGCGUUGCUCGGAAUUACUGGGCGUAAAGGGCGCGUAGGCGGACAGUUUAGUCAGAGGUGAAAGCCCAGGGCUCAACCUUGGAACUAGCCUUUGAUACUGACUGUCUUGAGUUCGGGAGAGGUGAGUGGAAUGCCGAGUGUAGAGGUGAAAUUCGUAGAUAUUCGGCGGAACACCAGUGGCGAAGGCGACUCACUGGCCCGAUACUGACGCUGAGGCGCGAAAGCGUGGGGAGCAAACAGGG